GGAGAAUAGAACUCACCUCUUGGCUUUAUGCAAGCAAAAAAAUUCACCUUCUUCUGAGCUUCUCGCACAUCCUUUUGUGUAUACAGUAGUGUUAUUCCUUAAUGGAUGCUAUCAUUAUGUUUCUCUUUUAAUGUUUUCCAGGUGGGAAAAGAAUGUGAACAAGGUUCUUCAGGAAGGUUUCUUCUCAGCUAGAAAAGGAGAACAGGCAUUUCUUAAGGAGGACUGCAGCCCAUGGGACUUGGACUUCAAACAACAAAUGUGCAGAGCUCACAUGAACUUGAAGCUGCCCUUUUAUUUGUGACAUCCAUAAACAUUUAUGAUGCUUGGUUUUCAUCCCAUCUGCCAAUGAAGUCACGAUACAGAAGCAGCGCUAUCACAGGUAUUUCUUUGCCAAGAGAUGAUACCCUCAAAAUCAGAUACUGUCGCAUCACUGCAAAGUUCAGUCCUUAAGAAAGAUGUUUAUCCCUACAAUUUGGACAGUUCCAACAUUUACUCAUACUUAAUUUUUAAAAGGAAAUAGGACAUUAGACUUUUCCAUAGACAUCCAUAAAUAUUUUACAUUGGAUCUACAUAAAAAUCUCCUUAUAAUUGAGACCAUUUARAUGAAAAUCUUUGAAAGAAAAGUAUUAUGAGCCAGAGUCUAAUCCGCAAAGAACUGCUGUAUCUGCAUUACGCUGAUAUGUAAUUAUGUGGGUUUACAUUACUUGUGAAAGUGAUCCACUAUAAACUGUUGAAUUAUCAUAGUGUCACAGGGAUACUUUAUAAACAAGAAAAUAAGGCCUGGUGACAAAAUCUCUUUUUGCUUAUGAUGUAAAUUUGGAGUAAAUCCACUGGCUUUAAACCUGUUUCAGAAGUAAAAUCUGAGCAGAGUUUGGCUGACAAGUUCUGCUGUCAUCUGUACAAGCUAUGUUGGACCUCACAAAGUGAACAACAACAAGAGGGAGAGAAGACCUCACCGUAGAAAUCAAGGCAACUUGCUUGGAGGAGAGAGAUUCAGUGGCAGCUUUUAAUAAGGAGUCCAAAGAUAUUUGGUKAUAGACAGAAGCAGAAACCAGCUUACAAACCAGAAGAAGAGUUUCUUGAGCAGGUCUCCUUGCUCCUUUUCAUAACUUUGUAAGGAUUUUUAAGCAUAAUCUUUUGCCUAUUUGAAAGAGGUUGUUGUGAUGUCUAUGUUACACACUCCUUUUCGUCUACUAGUAUGAAGAUGACUUUCAGUGAUGUAUGUGAGAUUUGUUUCCUUCAGUUUCAUGGUCAGGGCAUAAAUCACAUGAAAUAUGGAUUUGUCUCCUCUUCUUGUGUUUAGGUCAUUGCUUUGUGUCUAUAAGAUGCAGGCAACAAAGUCAAGAUCAGCUACAGGAAAGAGUUAAAAGGUUGAAAUAUUUAUUAUGCUUAGCUCCUUAAAUUAUAAAUCAGGCAUGUUUAUAGCUCAGUGCUUCUUUUUUGCUUGCUUUGUUUUUAAUUCUGGAGGCUUUUUCCACCCAAGUAAGUGCUUUCCUGAUUGACUUAAGAGGCAUCUUCUUUCCUGGGCAGGCUAACUGAUUUUUACUGCUGAGUUAUUCACAUAGAAAGUUAAUUAAGCCCUUGACCUGAUGUCCCAGUUGUUCCUUGGCACAGGAGGAGUUUGGGCCACUUAGUUUCCUAGGAAACAACAAGACAGCCACUUUUGCUGUUCCAGAGAAUUUAAAUUUCCUUGAUUUUGUACUGCAAAAUGUAGUGCUGUGGUAGCCAUAUUCCUUUCUGAUGCUUAUGCCUUUCACACAAGUGAGAAGAGAAAAUUUGUUUUGCCUCUUUCUGUGCUUCUCGUGAGAGACUGUAGUUUGUGCUCAGAGAAAAGACAGGCAUUUAGACUUCUAGGCUUUAUUUAACUGCCAAAGAAAUAUUGUGUGAUUUUCUUGGUUGUACUGAUAAUGUGAUUUGCUAUGCUUUUCCUUCCACUAUGCCUUUAUCCACUGAAACAGAUAUCCAGUAUUUUGCUGAGUGAGAUCUAGUGGAGUCAUUAGACAGUAGUGAGAUUUUUUGUUCAAAUCAUUUGAAAAGCUCACCUUUCAAAACCUGUGUAAUGUAAUAUUGUCUGAGGCUGAGUAAUUCUGUGAUGCAUUUCUGUGAACUGCUGAGAAGAAAUACUGAAGUAUCUCAUGUCUUAACUGAAUGCUGAAGUAACUCAGCAGUUUAUUAACAAAAGGAGAUUAGAACAAUAAUCUAUGAAAUCACAGUGAAUUUGCUGUGAACUUGCUGACUGACAACCAUAGCUGUAGCAGACAGCAACACUGAAGCCUUCAGUUUGUACUAGCUGAAUUUUAGCAUGACAAUGUAAAAAUAACAAACGGAAGUUGUUCUGGAUACCAAAUCGAUAGGGAUAACUUAUUCUUUUUUAAUCUGGUGAAAGUAAACUUAGAGCUAUUAAACUGGAUUCUCAUCUGGAUCUGUUCUUAAUGCCAGUCAACGGGUUAGAGAUCAUGGCUUGCCCCCAAAAAUUUGGAUUCAAAGUUUUCACAUCUUUUAAGACAGUCAUCUAGCUCAUUUCUUCUCCAAGCCUGUCUUCAAUUGGUCAUACCAUAUAACUUUAAUUACCUWAAUAUUCAUCAGCUGAAUCUUGUUGUGCAGCUGCAAAUCCCUUAAUUACAUAUGCACAUAGUCAUAGGGAAUAACUGUACUGCAUGGAGAAGCAACACAAUUGUCAGUAAAAACACAUUCUAAAACCAUUGCACUUUAAUGGCUUUGCAAUACCAGUAACAAAUCAGAAGAAACUACAUCUGUGAAUACUGCUCAUGUGGACUUCGAUCUCUUCCAACACACCCCAUUUCUUUGAUUAAAGAGAGUAAGAGAAGCCUUAAUGCCUCUUACCUUACAGGUAAGAGGUGAAAUCAUGGCUCUGAUGAAAUAAUUAGCCAAGCUAAAUUGACUUAAAUGGGCCAGGAUUUCACAUGUGAAUGUUAGAAAAGAACCAAUGCUCUUGAAGAACUGAUGCAUUUUCUUUAUAGGUAUGAGAGUAUAUAUUUCCUGUUGUGGUGCUAAACAAUUCAUUAUCUGGACAGCAUUCAGUUAAGUUUGCUUUGUGAGGGGGUACUUUCACUAUUUGUUAUGUUUAAUCCUGUUUAUAAUAGGCUCUUUGGCUUAGCAGAUUAGAAGCUGACAUGAAUAGCAAAUACUUGUAUAAAGUCUUUGAUCACUUAUAGGCAAUGUAUAUGUCAGUAAAGACCUAUGUCUCUCUAUGUAUACUAGAAAAAAGGAGUUGUUCAAUAAUCUCUUCCAAGGAAUGAUUUCAAGUGGUUCUACAUGGAUUGGUUUGUACAACUGAGUGGAGAUCUUGCCUCCAUUUCUUGAGAUUGCACCAACACCACUUGAACGGGAGGUGGUGGGAAGGGAAUUUUUAUGUUGCUAGUUUUCAUGAGAAGCAAUUUAUCUUGUGUGUAACUGUACUCAUGGACUUAGGCAAUUGGCACAUGUUUUUAUAAAUAAAUGAAUGAGAUAUAAAGAAAGUGCUGGUGUU
ensembl:lncRNA